UACAGAGGUCUCAAGCGUUGUCCGGAUUUAUUGGGCGUAAAGAGCUCGUAGGCGGCUUGUCGCGUCGUCCGUGAAAACUUGGGGCUCAACCCCAAGCUUGCGGUCGAUACGGGCAGGCUCGAGUUCGGUAGGGGAGACUGGAAUUCCUGGUGUAGCGGUGAAAUGCGCAGAUAUCAGGAGGAACACCGGUGGCGAAGGCGGGUCUCUGGGCCGAUACUGACGCUGAGGAGCGAAAGCGUGGGGAGCGAACAGG
rnacentral:rRNA from 1 species